rnacentral:rRNA from 1 species
GACGAACGCUGGCGGCGGGCCUAAUACAUGCAAGUAGGACGCAGUUGCGAAUGGGUGAGUAACGCGUAGGCAACUGCCUCUUUGAGGGGGAUAACCAUUGGAAACGAUAGCUAAUACCGUAUACUAGUUGAUGGCCCUGCGUUGUAUUAUCUAGUAGGUAGGGUAACGGGCUACCUAGGUGACGAUACAUAGCCGACCUGGGAGGGUGGUCGGCCACACUUGGACUGAAACACGGCCCAGAAUCCUACGGGAGGCAGCAGUAGGGAAACUUCGGCAAUGGGGGGAACCCUUACCGAGCAACGGCGCGGGAGUGAAGAAGGUUUUCGGAUCGUAAAGCUCUGUUGUUAAGGAAGCGGUACUUAACGAGAAAGGGACGGCUAACUACGUGCCAGCAGCCGCGGUAAUUC